GAUGAACGCUGGCGGUAUGCUUAACACAUGCAAGUCGAACGGACUCUUCGGAGUUAGUGGCGGACGGGUGAGUAACGCGUGAGAAUCUGGCUUUGGGUUCGGGACAACCACUGGAAACGGUGGCUAAUACCGGAUGUGCCGAGAGGUAAAAGAGAAAUUGCCUGAAGAUGAGCUCGCGUCUGAUUAGCUAGUUGGUGAGGUAAAGGCUCACCAAGGCAGCGAUCAGUAGCUGGUCUGAGAGGAUGACCAGCCACACUGGGACUGAGACACGGCCCAGACUCCUACGGGAGGCAGCAGUGGGGAAUUUUCCGCAAUGGGCGAAAGCCUGACGGAGCAAUACCGCGUGAGGGAAGAAGGCUCUUGGGUUGUAAACCUCUUUUCUUAGGGAAGAACAAAAUGACGGUACCUAAGGAAUCAACAUCGGCGAACUCCGU
rnacentral:rRNA from 1 species